CCCAUGCCACAGCUCAGUUCCUCCUUUUAAGACCAAAAAAAAAAGCAGGAAACAGAUAAUCUAAGAAUUAGGAGAAAACAAGGAGAAUGACCCGCUUUCAAGCACUCUGUAGGUUUUAUGGCACUUCUACUUGCCAGAGUAAAAUGGAAGUAAUACGGUCUUUGUGUACAUUUACAUUAAUGAAAAAGUGCCCUGAGGUCAACCUGCAAACUAUAGAGUUUCCAGGUUCCCUUUAUCUCCAUUUUCAUUUCUGCCUGCUUUAAAUCUGCUGUUACUUUUCUACUGAGAUAAAAACAACUGUUUGGAUCUAACAGGGUCAAGAAAACUUUUAAGCUGUUUACAGCUUUUAAUAAUUGAGUAAGGUAUACUCCUGUGAAGAAAAUUUGGAGCAUAUUUGUUUCUCUCUACCUGAUUUCUCCAAAAUUUGGAAACUAUUUAUUCACCUCUAAGAAUGCUCUCUGAACGUUCCUGGGAUGGAUGAAAUGCGGGGAGUGAAGAAGAUUUGUACUACUUCUAAAGCAGAGUUUACAAUUCAAGCUCUAAAGAAGAAAAAAUAAAUAAACUUAAGUAAAUAUAAACACAAGUUGCGGCACAUUCAAUAAUGAACUCUAACUUUGCAUUUAAAGGGAGAAAGAACUGCAGAUAAAUGAGGUCAAAAAUCCCUGGGGCUGAUGGUAAAGAGAAUCUUGACAGCAUCUCACUUCAUCAAACAGAGCUUAAGAAAGUUAUCCAUUACAGAUAAGCUUCUUUACCUUGAUGGCAGUCAUAUAGCCAAGCUUAAUGAGCAAAAUUUCAAGCAAAUACACUUUUUUUCCAAUAAUGUAAAAAUAAAACAAGAAUGCCUACACUCACUGUUACUCAUCAUAUAUCUAAGCACACAAUGUUAGAGGUGAUUCCAAGGAAUCAUCUCUCAUCUGUCCUCUCUACUGAUAUCAUCCCAAAGUAGAGAAGAUCCUUUAUUUGUUUGUUUGUUUGUGUAUUAUUUUUUGAGACAAGAUCUCAUUCUGUCACCCAGGCUGGAGUGCAGUGGCGCAAACACAGACCACUGCAGCUUUGACCUCUCCUGGUUCAAGUGAUCCUUCCACCUCAGCCUCUCGAGUAACUGGUAUUACAGGUGAGUGCCACCAGGUCCGGCUAAUUUUUGCCAUGUUGCCCAGGCUGGUCUUGAACUCCUGGGCUCAAGUGAUACACUCUCCUCGACCUCCCAAAAUGUUGGGAUUACAGGAUCCUUUAAAAUAUCCUGGGGCUUUAUCAAUAACUCUGAAAAACUUUGUGAACUUUCUUGAACUGUGGACUUAAACAUUCUUGUUUAAUUUGGAGCUUAUGAGUAAAUAUGUUAAAAAAUAGUCCACCAGAUAACUACCUUAUGCCAGAAAACGUUAAAAUCGUGAAGGGGAAGAAAAUCAUGUAAUGUUACUAUCUUUAACAGGAACAAAACGUAGUUAAGAUUGCAACAGAAUUUUCCAUAAAAUGCAUACAUGGUGUGAUAAGCACUUAUUAAGUGCUCAAUAAAUAUUUGUUGAAUGAAUG